AGAAUUCUCGUGGUCUCAAAAUGCAGUCGUUCGGCAGAGAGGACCUCUGCAAGCAUGCACUGGAGGGCAGCAGAUCCCAACCUCUGCCGUGCCAUAAGGCACUUCAAAAAGCGCAAAGAAAGAAACUUCAGCCUACCGGUGGCCUUUUGUUCCAUUGAUGCACGUAUUUUUCAUGGGCUUGUGUACAAAGCAGAUGUCAUGGGGUAAUCCAUGCAGUCUGGUAUUUCCAGGCUUCUGCACCACCCUUCUGCUCUAGGUUUGUGGUACAGACAGCUGAAGGGAUGUUGGUAAGAUACUCCUGAUUUAUCCUCAGAUGAUGAAUCAAGCACUGAGUUCUCACCCUAAAUGAUUCUCGGUGUUUACCAGAUCAGCACAGAUAGCUAAGAAUACAGGACGUUUUGAAUCUUGUCUGCUCCCACUGGCACUGACAUUUCCUCUCUUGCAAGACCGUGACUCCUGUUGGUGAAACAGAAUCUUCUGAGCAUGUGAGCACACAGAUUGAACUUUUCUGACCUUAAGUACCCCAAGUAUCUCAUACUGAAUUUCAGUUUAGAAGAAUCUAACUCAUUUGGCUGAGUCCUGCCAGCAUCUGGAUCAGGGAAAAGGAUGUGACUAUCUGCUCCCACACUGUGUGACUAACACUGGAUUGCAUAAGAGAAGUCUAGGAAGCUGGAAAUACUUUGGUCUUGGAAGACAAAUACUCAUCUUGUGCUGCCUACGUGGAGUCCACCUUAGAAAUUCCUUGGAAUGUCUYAGACAGACACUUUACAAUUCAUCAGCAACAUGCAAGAAUCACCAGGAAGCAAGAAUGCAAUACUAUCAACAUGACACAGAGAAUCCUAUUCUUCAGCAUUAAAAAACAAGGCAAUAACUGGAAAACAUCCUGGUYAGAAAAGCAUUGCUUAUGCCACCUUAUGCUGUUGGGUGUGGGUUUUUGUUUUCUUUCCCUACUGUUGUURCUCAGGAUACCUCCUUAAUCCUGACAUUCUGGUUUCUUUAUUCAAGCCUUUUAUUUCCUCUCCAAACUCUUUGAAAUCAUAUUUUUUUUCAUGCAAAAUUCUUCUCAUAUGGUAUUUUCCARCGAGACCUUCUGUGUGCUUAGCACAGGCUUUGUUUCAAACACAGAUCAAGAACCACCUAGCUGUUUCCUGUUUUCUUAUGGCACCUUAUAGCUGUUAACCUCAGUAUGGCUUUCAGCACUCGUAUCUGUUCUACCUUUCAACAUUGAAUACCACCUUGAUCCAAUCUUUUGACAGUUCUGUGGAACAGAAAAAGUCACUAUCUCUCCGUCUGCCUUUUCAAAGUAAAUUUUGCUGAUGGGCAAUAUUGUUUUAGAAUUUUAUCUGUAUUUUCAAUGCUCCCUCUUCUGUCUUCAGCUUAUUCAUCUUCUUCCUGUGUUUUGAAGUCCACCAAAAGCUUUCAUUCAGCAGAGUGUGUGAACAGAAUCUUUGUUCAGAAAAAUGCUUAAUUAUGUUUUUCAGUGGUGUUCUUACAAACGAGUUAGGAGCACAUGUAGUA